AAAGAUGAGUACAUUCAGUGGGAUGGAAGAUCUCAGCGCAGACUGCCUCUGAACCGCCGCUGGUCGAUCACCUGAGGACACACCAAACAAAACAAACGAAGCCAAGGAUUAGAUUCUCCAGCCAAUUUUAAAUUAUAUCGGGAAAGAGUGAACGGCAGCCGACCAAAUAAUUCAAGACUAUUUCGAUUAGAUGCAGGUGAAUUCUCAACUUUUAUUGCGCUGCUGAAUGAACGCGUUUCCCCUUUCUUGUGUGACGUCAAGUAUAAAGUAGUAGCCUUGAUUUUGCACGAAGAAGGGAGCGAACCAACUUUUCCCAUCUCGUCACUUUGACUUAACGUGGAAGCAUCCCGCCACUACAUUGACGUUCACCCUGGCCCUCGAGAAAUAGCGAUGAAAGUGAGAAUGAUUAGAAAAUGACAUGAUACGCCCUAAUGCAGGUUUCCUAUAUGGCCAUUAUGGUUUCAUCUGAUGAAAGGGGAUGCCAUAACCACUGGCAUUUGGAGCUUCGUAUACGAUGGGCAGUUACGAGUAUUAAUACGCAAGUACGGCAUUCAAUCGAUCCAACACGGACUGGACGCCAGUCGUGGACAUUGCCGAGUUGAAGGUUCAAUGUCUCGUCUGGGGGACGUUCCGUCGACGCCAACGACAUGGAAAAAACUCGAAAAACUUUUUCAUAAACUGCAACCCAAUUUCAUCGACCAUCAAAGCUGAAGAAAGGCUGAAAUAGCGAUGAAUAAAGAGGGGGCAGUUUGGGAAUUGACAUCAACACGCCAGAUAUUCGGCUGGAGAAAUGCCAAACUUGCGGCACGCAAAAAAGCAAUUGAAAAAAGGGCCAAAGCGCAACGAAGAUAUGACAAGAAAAAACUCAAAAGGAUUGAAAGGCCAACAGUUAUUCCUGCCUACUACUUGAAAAUGGAAUUCCCCACUCUAUUUUAAAAUUGAGAGGCGGGAGUUUGGUACCGCGAAAAGAUGCUGAAAACGAAAUGCGAAUAGAAUUUGAAAAGGAAAACGACACGGAAAUGAGAAGAGAUUCCCUUGUCUGUUUGUAACGGAGACGGCCCCUGAUCGAUCAAUCGACUUGCCAUAGACAACGAUUGAGCCGAAAAAUUAAAAAUGAGUUUUGUUUUAUACAUUCAAGUUUUAUUUGCGCAGAAUGGAAUUGCAAACUGAAGGGAAAGUAACUGUCAACACAAAAAUUACUCGCGUACUUUUAUCUCUCGAGUCUUGAAAGUCAAUUUAGUUCUAUUCUCUUUUCCUCCAUUUGGCCGUCGAGUGCUGCCCAAGUUAUUCAACUCCUUCCUUUUGACAAACACUUUCCUUCGUCCCGUCUUCCUUGAAUGAGAGACUCGAUCGAAAACUUGUCGUUUCUGUUUGCGAUUGUCAAGAGUUUGCUGGCCCGUUUUCAGUUGCGCAAGUAAAUGGAAAUGCAAUCCGAUUUGGAAACAGUGGGGAGGAUUGAACCGCGUAAUUGCUUUUCAUUCACAAUGGCGAUCAAUCAAAAACGGUUAUACAUGUUGUAUGUUAUACACCUGGAUGUUAUUUAAAAGAGCUGCUGUUGGCGUCACGACAUCCAUAAUUACAUCGGCACAAAAGACGGCGACGACCAGAUGGCGUGAGGACGGAGACGGCCCUUUCCAGGUAUCUGGCAACUUUUCCUUCUUAACCGGCACACGAAGACAAGGAAAGAUGGCAGUGGAUUCCAGCGAGAAGUCGCCCUAGUCUUUUUUCCAGCAGAGAGAAUGUUCAACUGUUAUUUGCACCCGUUUUCCACCUCCGUGAAUGAAUAAAAAAGGUAUAGUUGCCGGAAUCGGCUGGAUCUGCUCGCUGGAUCACCAAACGGCUCGUCCACGCCAUCCAGUCGCUUUUGCCGGCGAUGGAUUCAGCAACAUCUUCCAGGUAAAUGGACACCAACCCCAAACCGGCCGACGAUUUGCCGCCGUGAAUCAGCGGCCGGCCGUUGUGAAACCAAACGAACGGCGCUCUGCCACCCACCACCUGCUGAAAUGGAAUCGACUCUUAUAAUUAGGGGGGGGGGGGGUUGAAAUUGGGUGAAUUAUUUACGACGGACGUACCGCGGGUAACGACAACUGGUGAAGUGCCGUCUGUUCCCGGUUGGUCUCGUUGCUGUUGUUAAUAUGGAAAUUGUUGGCUUCUGGGUAGAGUUUGCAAUGCAGUUGGAUGUUGCUCUCGGCUUCGACGUGGUGUUCGCUGCCCUCGACGACCGACGCUACCGGCGCCCAGACUAAAAGUUCGACAAAGUGCGAAACUUGUCCCUGUCCGCCCGCUAUCUGCGUCGGACGUCGAUAGGAAAAAUAAUAAUUCAAAUUCCGUCAAUAUAAUUCACAUUUCCUGUGACAUUUUGUAAUAAUUCUAGAGUGUUUUGGCAUUUGUUCCUUUUGUUUGAUUACGAGGGGUUUCGUUCAGCGUGAAUGAGUUAUUGGUGGGAUCGUCACGUUUUCAUACACGGCCGAAUCGUCACGCAAUCUGAACGCCAGUCAACGGCUCUCAGAUUCGUACACAAAUGCA
rnacentral:lncRNA from 1 species